rnacentral:rRNA from 1 species
AUACGUAGGUGACAAGCGUUAUCCGGAUUUACUGGGCGUAAAGGGCGUGUAGGCGGUCUUGCAAGUCAGAAGUGAAAUUCCUGAGCUCAACUCGGGCGCUGCUUCUGAAACUGCAGGACUUGAGUGCUGGAGGGGAUAGCGGAAUUCCUAGUGGAGCGGUAAAAUGCGCAGAUAUUAGGAAGAACACCGGUGGCGAAGGCGGUUAGCUGGACAGUAACUGACGCUGAGGCGCGAAAGCGUGGGGAGCAAACAGGAUUAGAUACCCUGGUAGUCCACGCCAUAAACGAUGAAUACUAGGUGUAGGGGGUAUCGACCCCCUCUGUGCCGACGUUAACACAUUAAGUAUUCCACCUGGGGAGUACGGCCGCAAGGCUGAAACUCAAAGGAAUUGACGGGG